GAGUUUGAUCAUGGCUCAGGAUGAACGCUAGCGGCAGGCCUAAUACAUGCAAGUCGAGGGGCAGCACGAGUACUUGUACUUGGUGGCGACCGGCGCACGGGUGCGUAACGCGUAUGCAACCUACCCUAUACUGGGGGAUAGCCCGAGGAAACUCGGAUUAAUACCCCAUGGUACUAUAAGUUCGCAUGGAUUAAUAGUUAAAGAUUUAUUGGUAUAGGAUGGGCAUGCGUUAGAUUAGCUAGUUGGUGAGGUAAUGGCUCACCAAGGCGACGAUCUAUAGGGGACCUGAGAGGGUGAUCCCCCACACUGGUACUGAGAUACGGACCAGACUCCUACGGGAGGCAGCAGUAGGGAAUAUUGGUCAAUGGAGGAGACUCUGAACCAGCCAUGCCGCGUGCAGGAAGACGGCCUUCUGGGUUGUAAACUGCUUUUGACAGGGAAGAAAACGGCCAUGCGUGGCUAACUGACGGUACCUGUAGAAUAAGCACCGGCUAACUCCGUGCCAGCAGCCGCGGUAAUACGGAGGGUGCAAGCGUUGUCCGGAUUUAUUGGGUUUAAAGGGUGCGUAGGCGGUAAAUUAAGUCAGAGGUGAAAGCCCACAGCCUAACUGUGGAACUGCCUUUGAUACUGGUUUACUUGAGUA
rnacentral:rRNA from 1 species